rnacentral:misc_RNA from 1 species
AAUCUGACAAUGUAGGCAAAUCUUUAAAUCAUCCUAGGCCUCCUCAAGACAAGAUUUGGCAAAUGACAACUUUAGAUACACUAGCAUGGCAAUUACAGCUACCAAAAUGACAAUAUUUCAUUUUCAAAUCAAUAUGAACAGUAAAAAUAAUGCCGAAUGCAUCUCCAUGCCCUUGUACUUAUCUCACAUGUGCAGUUGGCCCCGUCAUGCUUUACUUUGUUAAAUUGGAUACAAAGUUCAUGCUUUACUUUGUUAAAUUGGAUACAAAGUUUAUAAUAUUUAAGCAAUUGAACUCUUUCAAAAAUAAAAUAAUAUUUAAAUUAUUUUUAAA